UACACUCCUACGGGAGGCAGCAGUGGGGAAUAUUGGACAAUGGGCGCAAGCCUGAUCCAGCCAUGCCGCGUGAGUGAUGAAGGCCCUAGGGUUGUAAAGCUCUUUCACCGGUGAAGAUAAUGACGGUAACCGGAGAAGAAGCCCCGGCUAACUUCGUGCCAGCAGCCGCGGUAAUACGAAGGGGGCUAGCGUUGUUCGGAUUUACUGGGCGUAAAGCGCACGUAGGCGGACUAUUGAGUCAGGGGUGAAAUCCCGGGGCUCAACCCCGGAACUGCCUUUGAUACUGGUAGUCUUGAGUUCGAGAGAGGUGAGUGGAAUUCCGAGUGUAGAGGUGAAAUUCGUAGAUAUUCGGAGGAACACCAGUGGCGAAGGCGGCUCACUGGCUCGAUACUGACGCUGAGGUGCGAAAGCGUGGGGAGCAAACAGGAUUAGAAACCCGAGUAGUCC
rnacentral:rRNA from 1 species